GGUGGGGGGUGGAAAGCUUUAUUGUGGUUUUGGAUGGACUCGCGGCCUAUCAGCUUGUUGGUGAGGUAAUGGCUUACCAAGGCGACGACGGGUAGCCGGCCUGAGAGGGUGACCGGCCACACUGGGACUGAGACACGGCCCAGACUCCUACGGGAGGCAGCAGUGGGGAAUAUUGCACAAUGGGCGCAAGCCUGAUGCAGCGACGCCGCGUGAGGGAUGACGGCCUUCGGGUUGUAAACCUCUUUCAGUAGGGAAGAAGCGAAAGUGACGGUACCUGCAGAAGAAGCGCCGGCUAACUACGUGCCAGCAGCCGCGGUAAUACGUAGGGCGCAAGCGUUAUCCGGAAUUAUUGGGCGUAAAGAGCUCGUAGGCGGUUUGUCGCGUCUGCCGUGAAAGUCCGGGGCUCAACUCCGGAUCUGCGGUGGGUACGGGCAGACUAGAGUGAUGUAGGGGAGACUGGAAUUCCUGGUGUAGCGGUGAAAUGCGCAGAUAUCAGGAGGAACACCGAUGGCGAAGGCAGGUCUCUGGGCAUUAACUGACGCUGAGGAGCGAAAGCAUGGGGAGCGAACAGGAUUAGAUACCCUGGUAGUCCAUGCCGUAAACGUUGGGCACUAGGUGUGGGGGACAUUCCACGUUUUCCGCGCCGUA
rnacentral:rRNA from 1 species